rnacentral:rRNA from 1 species
CCUACGGGAUGCAGCAGUGGGGAAUAUUGGACAAUGGGCGAAAGCCUGAUCCAGCCAUGCCGCGUGUGUGAAGAAGGCCUUCGGGUUGUAAAGCACUUUCAGUGGGGAAGACAGCCUUGGGGCUAAUACCCUCGAGGAAGGACAUCACCCACAGAAGAAGCACCGGCUAACUCCGUGCCAGCAGCCGCGGUAAUACGGAGGGUGCGAGCGUUAAUCGGAAUUACUGGGCGUAAAGCGCGCGUAGGCGGUCUGAUAAGCCGGUUGUGAAAGCCCCGGGCUCAACCUGGGAACGGCAUCCGGAACUGUCAGGCUAGAGUGCAGGAGAGGAAGGUAGAAUUCCCGGUGUAGCGGUGAAAUGCGUAGAGAUCGGGAGGAAUACCAGUGGCGAAGGCGGCCUUAUGGACUGACACUGACGCUGAGGUGCGAAAGCGUGGGUAGCAAACAGGAUUAGAUACCCUUGUAGUC